AUUGUUAAAUAAACAAAAAAAUAACAACUUUUUCGCCCGGAAACCACGAAAUUCGGAUUCUACGCCUCAAAAUACAUCAAAAAAAAAAACGUUUGGUUACCGGAGCGACCUCGUAUAUUAAAAAUGGAUCACUCAGACCCCCCUCAGCGCCCGGACUAUAUUCUUAACUAUUUUCUUCCGAAGAUAGUUGGUGAAAUAAUACGACACAGGUGCACGUGAUUAAUGGCGAUUCGAGAUAUGGACAGCAGCAUAUCGUAAAAAAAUUAGCGCAGCAUCGCAGAAUUAGAAGUAAAAUAAUCUUUCGAGGAAUGCAAUCAUAAAGUAGUUUGAAUCCAUUUGAAAAUCUACAAAUAAUAAGGUGUCGUUCUUCCUUAAAAUUGCUGAAGCGUAUGAAGCAGAUAUCACGCGUUGAAAAAAGGCAGUACGCAAGUGAGAAGUACUAACCACCCACCAAGUAUCAGACUCGCCAGUCUUUGUUUGAUAUUCGUGCCAGUUCGAGCUUAAUUUCCUCUUAAUACGUCGGCCCCACGAAGUGUGCAAAAUAAAUAUUGAACGCGUUGAACAUGUGACACGUGAGCUUAGACGCGCGAUUUGAAGAAAUUCCGUAUAGAAACCGAGAAAAGUAUGACUAGAUGUCAUCAUAAUUAAUGCCGAACACAUAUGACGUUUGAUAGCUUAAUGAAAAUGUGGAAUACCAAUAAGCUGAUAUAAAAAAGAUAUUUUACCUGGUCGGUGAAAAAUGAGGUGCAAAUAAAGAUGUCUCGUAAUACAACGCCUCGCGCGCUUCAUUGUUAUUUUUUUACGCCUGGCAGCGCAGAACAUGACUUUAGAACGUGGACAUUUGCAUAACGUUUAUAUUUGCGCGUGUGUAUUAAUGUAGCCAAUCCAAUAAUGUAGUUAGAAUUAUACUCUAUCAUUUUGAUGGAGGCUGAUUAAAACGUUUAUCGUAUCUGAAA